AUCUAGAAAGGAUUUCUUUCUUAUAUUAAAGUCUGGAAGCUUAGAAACCUGGUACUUCCACCUGAUGUAGUGUGUGCUUCCCAGAAUUUUAAAGAUUAAGAUGAAUCACGACAAGUGAAAUGACCCUAGACAGAGAACACAGAGGGCUGGUGCGUGUUUGCUGUAACCUUCUGAGAGAGCUCUUCAUCUCGUUUACAUGUUCUUGAGAGACUGCCUUCCGUACCAUGAUGACCGAGCCAUCCGGACUGCAGACCUCCCUCCCCACACAGCAGUUGCUUCCUCAGAGGUCCUGUGCGUCUGGAUUACCUUUUAAUCACGGGCCACGUUCUCGGUUGCAGGCAGCUACCACUUGCCUGGCAAAGUGCUGCACUCUACCCGUGAUAAAGGAGCAGCUAGAAAACACGGUUCUGACCCUCCAGGACCCUAAGUCACUUUGGAGGAGGGCAAUGAAAAUGAAUCACUCUCCUUCGGCUGCUCCCUAAGGAUUUGCAAAUUUGGCCCCAAUAAAUCCUUUCCGCAGCAGGACUGUAUUGACAAACUAGCUGAGCUCUGCAUUGGUGCCACAAGGGCUGCUUUGCAGUCUUCAGUCUUGGCUCCUUAAAAAAAAAAAAUCUGAAGCGCUUCCUUUGUAUCAGGCACUUUGUUCUUAUGAGCACUGAGUUCAUGUUCCCUUCUGCUCAGUAACUGUCUUAAAAUGAUGCUGCAGAGAAAGCUGAAGAAGGACAAGCAAACAAGAAAAUCGAGAGGGCCAGAAGAAUGGAGGGCAAAAAGGAAAAAGAGCACAACUGUUGUGUUUGUGGGGCAGAUUCACAAAUGCAUCUCUUGCCAUUGCUGCUUAUUUCCUUGGACAUCCUGUCGCUUCCUCUAUGCCCUUUUUGAAGAAGUAUUUGUUAGGAAGGUUAAAAUCACUGAGGAAGCUGUUUUUCAGGCACGUUCCUUGGCAAGAGAUUUAUCUUCUGGACCUCUGAAAAGUGUUACAUUACAGCAGAUAAUGAAGCCUACUCAAGUGAGAAGGCAUCAAGUGUUCUUGAAUAAAGAAAAAAAAAAAAAGAAAUCUCUGGAGGGAAGGUGUG